CCUCUUAUCUCUCUCUUCCCGAUCUCCUGACCCGCCACCUUCUCUGCCCCCGCACCUCUGCGCUACCACCUUCUCUUCCCGUUUCUUUCCCUUUCUCUUCUCUUCCCUUUUCGUUUCUCUUCGCACGACCUGUCUUCCCACCUCUGCGCACGACCGCCUCCUUUCCGUUUCCGCCUCUUUCCCGUUCCUUUCCAUUUUCGCCCGCACGACCGCCUCCUCCGCCAUCCAAUCUCCGACAUCGCCUUCUCUGCGUCCGCCGUCCGAUCUCCACCUGUCUUUCCACCCCAUCCUCAUCUUCCCAAUCUCAACCCCACCACCCGUCAUCCACAUCCGCCGUCCUCACCAUCCUCACCUCACCACACCACCCCGGCAUUCGGUCGUUCCCGACAUCACCUUGGCACCCGUCCGUUCCAUCCGCCCAUCCUCCGUGCACAUCGCCGCAGCUUCGAUCCGGCACCCGAGCAUCAUCCGGCACCCGUUCCCCUCCACCGCCGUGCACGCCGUCAUCCGCCCCUCUGAUCACGCCAUCUCCUCCGAGCAUCAUCGCCGCCGCAGCCAUCUCCGUGCACGCUGCCACCUCCAUCCACGCUGCCGCCGCCGCCCUGACACCACCCUGAGUUCACCAAUCUUUCCUUUUCUCUUCGCAUCCUCC
rnacentral:lncRNA from 1 species